rnacentral:rRNA from 1 species
UGGGGAAUCUUGCACAAUGGGGGAAACCCUGAUGCAGCGACGCCGCGUGAGCGAUGAAGCCCUUCGGGGUGUAAAGCUCUUUCGGCAGGAACGAUAAUGACGGUACCUGCAGAAGAAGCUGCGGCUAACUACGUGCCAGCAGCCGCGGUAAUACGUAGGCAGCAAGCGUUGUUCGGAGUUACUGGGCGUAAAGAGUGCGUAGGCGGUCCUCUAAGUUCGGUGUGAAAUCUCCCGGCUCAACUGGGAGGGUGCGCCGGAAACUGGAGGGCUUGAGUAUGGGAGAGGAAAGCUGAAUUCCUGGUGUAGCGGUGAAAUGCGUAGAUAUCAGGAGGAACACCUGUGUGUAGACGGCUCUCUGGACCAUGACUGACGCUGAGGCACGAGAGCGUGGGGAGCAAACA